rnacentral:rRNA from 1 species
GGCUCAUUAUAUAAGUUAUCGUUUAUUUGAUAGUACCUUCCUACAUGGAUAACCGUGGUAAUUCUAGAGCUAAUACAUGCUAAAAAUCCCGACUUCGGAAGGGAUGUGUUUAUUAGAUUAAAAACCAAUGCCCUUCGGGGCUCUCUGGUGAUUCAUAAUAACUUCACGGAUCGCACGGCCUUGCGCCGGCGAUGGUUCAUUCAAAUUUCUUCCCUAUCAACUUUCGAUGUUUGGGUCUUGGCCAAACAUGGUUUCAACGGGUAACGGAGGGUUAGGGCUCGACCCCGGAGAAGGAGCCUGAGAAACGGCUACUACAUCCAAGGAAGGCAGCAGGCGCGCAAAUUACCCAAUCCCGAUUCGGGGAGGUAGUGACAAUAAAUACUGAUACAGGGCUCUUUUGGGUCCUGUAAUUGGAAUGAGUACAAUUUAAAUCCCUUAACGAGGAACAAUUGGAGGGCAAGUCUGGUGCCAGCAGCCGCGGUAAUUCCAGCUCCAAUAGCGUAUAUUAAAGUUGUUGUGGUUAAAAAGCUCGUAGUUGAACCUUGGGCCUGGCUGGCCGGUCCGCCUCACCGCGUGUACUGGUCCGGCCGGGUCUUUCCCUCUGUGGAACGCCAUGCCCUUCACUGGGUGUGGUCGGGAAACAGGACUUUUACUUUGAAAAAAUUAGAGUGCUCCAGGCAGGCCUUUGCUCGAAUACAUUAGCAUGGAAUAAUAAAAUAGGACGUGCGGUUCUAUUUUGUUGGUUUCUAGGACCGCCGUAAUGAUUAAUAGGGACAGUCGGGGGCAUCAGUAUUCAAUAGUCAGAGGUGAAAUUCUUGGAUCUAUUGAAGACUAACUACUGCGAAAGCAUUUGCCAAGGAUGUUUUCAUUAAUCAGGAACGAAAGUUAGGGGAUCGAAGACGAUCAGAUACCGUCGUAGUCUUAACCAUAAACUAUGCCGACUAGGGAUCGGACGAUGUUAUUUUUUGACUCGUUCGGCACCUUACGAGAAAUCAAAGUGC